rnacentral:rRNA from 1 species
UCGAGAAUCUUUUGCAAUGCGCGAAAGCGUGACAAUGCGACGCCGCGUGAGCGAUGAAGGUCUUCGGAUUGUAAAGCUCUGUCAGCUUGGAUGAAUAGUGUGUAAUUAACAAAUGCACAUGACGACGGUACAAGCAGAGGAAGCCACGGCUAACUCCGUGCCAGCAGCCGCGGUAAUACGGAGGUGGCAAGCGUUGUUCGGAUUUAUUGGGUGUAAAGGGUUUGUAGGUGUCCUUUCAAGUCUUCCUUAAAAUACUCUGGCUCAACCAGAGAACUGGGGAAGAAACUGUUAGGAUUGAGUAUGGGAGAGGAAGAUGGAAUUCCCGGUGUAAGGGUGAAAUCUGUAGAUAUCGGGAGGAACACCAGUGGCGAAAGCGGUCUUCUGGCCCAAUACUGACACU